rnacentral:rRNA from 1 species
UACGGAGGGUGCAAGCGUUCUCCGGAUUCACUGGGUUUAAAGGGUGCGUAGGUGGGUUGAUAAGUCAGUGGUGAAAUCCCCGAGCUUAACUUGGGAACUGCCAUUGAUACUAUUGAUCUUGAAUACCGUGGAGGUCAGCGGAAUAUGUCAUGUAGCGGUGAAAUGCUUAGAUAUGACAUAGAACACCAAUUGCGAAGGCAGCUGGCUACGCGAAUAUUGACACUGAUGCACGAAAGCGUGGGGAUCAAACAGG